CAGCAGCCGCGGGAAUACGUAGGUGGCAAGCGUUGUCCGGAAUUAUUGGGCGUAAAGCGCGCGCAGGGGGUUUCUUAAGUCUGUCUUAAAAGUUCGGGGCUUAACCCCGUGAUGGGAUGGAAACUGCCAAUCUAGGGUAUCGGAGAGGAAAGUGGAAUUCCUAGUGUAGCGGUGAAAUGCGUAGAUAUUAGGAAGAACACCAGUGGCGAAGGCGACUUUCUGGACGAAAACUGACGCUGAGGCGCGAAAGCCAGGGGAGCGAACGGGAUUAGAUACCCCUGUAGUCCCUGUCUCUUAUACA
rnacentral:rRNA from 1 species